UACGGAGGGUGCAAGCGUUAAUCGGAAUUACUGGGCGUAAAGAGCUCGUAGGUGGUUUGUCGCGUUGUUCGUGAAAACUCACAGCUUAACUGUGGGCGUGCGGGCGAUACGGGCAGACUGGAGUACUGCAGGGGAGACUGGAAUUCCUGGUGUAGCGGUGGAAUGCGCAGAUAUCAGGAGGAACACCGGUGGCGAAGGCGGGUCUCUGGGCAGUAACUGACGCUGAGGAGCGAAAGCGUGGGGAGCGAACAGG
rnacentral:rRNA from 1 species